rnacentral:rRNA from 1 species
UACGGAGGGGGCUAGCGUUGUUCGGAAUUACUGGGCGUAAAGCGCACGUAGGCGGCUUUGUAAGUUAGAGGUGAAAGCCCGGGGCUCAACUCCGGAAUUGCCUUUAAGACUGCAUCGCUAGAAUUGUGGAGAGGUAAGUGGAAUUCCGAGUGUAGAGGUGAAAUUCGUAGAUAUUCGGAAGAACACCAGUGGCGAAGGCGACUUACUGGACACAUAUUGACGCUGAGGUGCGAAAAGCCGUGGGGAGCAAACAGG